rnacentral:rRNA from 1 species
CAGUCGCCACGGGAAUACAGAGGGUGCAAGCGUUAAUCGGAAUUACUGGGCGUAAAGCGCGCGUAGGUGGUUUGUUAAGUUGGAUGUGAAAUCCCCGGGCUCAACCUGUGAACUGCAUCCAAAACUGGCAAGCUAGAGUAUGGUAGAGGGUGGUGGAAUUUCCUGUGUAGCGGUGAAAUGCGUAGAUAUAGGAAGGAACACCAGUGGCGAAGGCGACCACCUGGACUGAUACUGACACUGAGGUGCGAAAGCGUGGGGAGCAAACAGGAUUAGAGACCCCAGUAGUCCCUGUCUCUUUACA